GGAUGUGAGUGCAAUCUCAUUGGGACAUGUGUCCCGCCACUAGUCACCAGGCUCGAUUGGGCUGUUUCUGCUGUCUCAGCAGACGUCCCCUUCCUCCUUCCCUGCUCCACGUGUUUCCCUGCCUUGCUCAAAGAGGACGACGUUUCCCGCUAGAGGCGAACCAUUGCUAGGUCAAGGGUAUACGGUAGCUGCGCUGUGCUUGAGAGCCUCCAAACAAGCUCAGGUCCAUUUGUAGUCAAGCUUCCAAGACUGCAGACACAUCCAAGUGAGACACUGCAUGGGGUCGGGUGGCUGGUGGU
rnacentral:snRNA from 1 species